rnacentral:misc_RNA from 1 species
CCAUGCCCCCGCUCCUCUCCCCUCCGCGCCAUCCUUGCCCCGCGCGCGCCCGCACAUCUCGCAAGGGCGCCCCUUCCCCUGCCCCCGUCGUCUCCGCGCAAGGGCCUGUCGUCUCGCAAGGGCGCCCCUUCCCCUGCCCCCGUCGUCUCCGCGCCAUCCUUGGAUCCGGGGUUCGCUCAGGUUGCCUCGCCUCGCAAGGUCCCCACCACGCGCGGUCAGGGAGCAUGGUGGGUGGGGAAGACAGGGAGGAGCAGAGGAGUAGGUGAAGCUCAACAUCGACAACAUGUUCACGGCGCUCGAGUCCCUCAAGAAGAAGGGCAACAAGAACAGGGCGGAUGGGCCGUCCUCCAGGAAGAAUCAUGGCGCAGGGCCCGCACUACAGCAGAGCAGGAACUGCCUCAAAGGAGGUCUUCUGGGCUCCCGUGCCGCUCACUACUGUCUCGCGUCCUUCACCGCCGACGACUGGCUCGACAACCGGAUCUAGGGACCUUCCUCCUGAUGCAGGCGCAUGGCGCCAUGGUAUUGGGCGAGGGCGUCGGUGCCGCGCAUGCUUGAGUUCGCC